rnacentral:misc_RNA from 1 species
UCCCAUGAUAAUGGAAUCCCAUCAUAACGGUUAUACAUUCCUCCAUGCCCUUGUGUAGUCCCAACACGGUGAUUGAUAACAAUGUCUGCCAUUGCUCUGACUUUAUACUGCUUCAUUUUUUGAACUAAAGCCCUCAGCAGGUGCUCAGAACCAUAUGAAGAGUUUAAAGAAUAAAGGUUCUGGGGAAGGUAACCUUCAGGUGAGAAGGACUGAGUAGGAGGCGGCAACCAUGCUGAAGUAAACCCAGAUUUUGCAAUAUCAGGAACUUUCCUUUCCAAAUUUCUCCACCAAUCAUACUUGUGAGAUUCCCAGUUAAAAGCCUGCAAAAGUAUUUCUCUCCCAUUGCGCACAGCUGCGCCAAUAUCAGUCUGCUGGUUAUUUUCAUC